GCCAGCUUCCUUUAAGGAGAAUAACAAACAGAUAUUGCUGAGUUUCUUAUUGAAUGAGGCAAAUGCUUUGAUCCCGUUGUAUUGGCUUAAAUCUAGUAUUCCUACUAAAGAACAAUGGAUUUUUAGAGUGGAAGCUUUGAGAGAACUUGAAGAAGUCCAUUGGGCCAUUCAGGGGAAGAGAGAUCAUUAUGAUAGGAUAUGGGAACUCUGGCGAGC